UAAAACCUAGAUGGACAUACAUCACCGCCGCAAUGACCUAAGAAUCAUAAUCAAUUUCUUCACGUUAAAAAUCCUACAAGCGCAGCCGCAACUUUUCCAAAAAAAAAAAAAGAAACUCACCAAACCCUUUUUUUUUGCCUCAUGUACGACCCAUCGAAAACAGCCAUGUAAACCAGUGACAACACCAAACCGUUGACAUCUAGACCUAGCUAUCAUCUUCUUCACUAAAGAAAGAGAAACUUUAGAAUGGUAGCAACUUAAGAGCAGGAGAAGCAGUUAGCAAAAAUGAUUAAAAAUGUGUGGAGAAGUUUUUGACGAAACGGGAUUUGAGCUUUGGCGAUCGUAAAAGGCAAGAAAGGUACAGACGACAGGUUUGCUGAUCCGCUCGCUUAGGACUUUAUUCCGCUAUUUUGGAGCGCUCUUUUAUCCGGAGCCUACAUCUUGGUAUAGCCUUCUGUUAUUGUGUAUAUAUACGCCAUUCAGGGGUACGACGGGGCCUUGUCCCGCCUUAUGAUUCUGUUAUGUUCUGUAGAGGUCUGUAGACACACAUGUGGGUUCUGUAUAUGCUUUUGGGUUGUUAUGAUCUGUGAUGGCCUUAUCGGCUUCUACGUGUUA